CAGUCGAGGGGCAGCGGGGAGGUAGCAAUACUUUCGCCGGCGACCGGCGCACGGGUGAGUAACACGUAUGGAACCUGCCCGUAGCAGGGGGAUAAGCGGAAGAAAUUCCGUCUAAUACCGCGUAAUAACUCCGAGAGGCAUCUCAUGGAGUUUAAAGGGUAACACCGGCUACGGAUGGCCAUGCGGCGCAUUAGCUAGUUGGCGGGGUAACGGCCCACCAAGGCGACGAUGCGUAGGGGUUCUGAGAGGAAGGUCCCCCACACUGGUACUGAGACACGGACCAGACUCCUACGGGAGGCAGCAGUGAGGAAUAUUGGUCAAUGGGCGCGAGCCUGAACCAGCCAAGUCGCGUGAGGGAAGACGGUCCUAUGGAUUGUAAACCUCUUUUGUCGGGGAGCAAAAGACGCCACGCGUGGCGUUCCGAGAGUACCCGAAGAAAAAGCAUCGGCUAACUCCGUGCCAGCAGCCGCGGUAAUACGGAGGAUGCGAGCGUUAUCCGGAUUUAUUGGGUUUAAAGGGUGCGCAGGCGGAAGAUCAAGUCAGCGGUAAAAUUGAGAGGCUCAACCUCUUCGAGCCGUUGAAACUGGUUUUCUUGAGUGAGCGAGAAGUAUGCGGAAUGCGUGGUGUAGCGGUGAAAUGCAUAGAUAUCACGCAGAACUCCGAUUGCGAAGGCAGCAUACCGGCGCUCAACUGACGCUCAUGCACGAAAGUGUGGGUAUCGAACAGGGUUAGAUACCCUGGUAGUCCACACAGUAAACGAUGAAUACUAAUUGUUCGGGGAGAAUGAUCCCUGAGUGAUACAGCGAAAGC
rnacentral:rRNA from 1 species